rnacentral:rRNA from 1 species
UAGGGAAUCUUCCACAAUGGACGCAAGUCUGAUGGAGCAACGCCGCGUGAGUGAAGAAGGUCUUCGGAUCGUAAAACUCUGUUGUUAGAGAAGAACGCGAGUGAGAGUAACUGUUCAUUCGAUGACGGUAUCUAACCAGCAAGUCACGGCUAACUACGUGCCAA